rnacentral:rRNA from 1 species
UAAUACGUAGGUGGCGAGCGUUGUCCGGAUUUAUUGGGCGUAAAGAGCCCGCAGGCGGUUUGGCAGGUUUCAGGUGAAAUCUCCUGGCUUAACUGGGAGGGUGCCUGGAAAACCGCCAGACUUGAGGCAUGGAGAGGGAUGCGGAAUUCCCGGUGUAGUAGUGAAAUGCGUAGAUAUCGGGAGGAACACCAGUGGCGAAGGCGGCAUCCUGGCCAUGUCCUGACGCUCAGGGGCGAAAGCGUGGGGAGCAAACCGGAUUAGAUACCCGGGUAGUCCACGCCGUAAACGAUGAGUGCUAGGUGUAGGGGGUAUCGACCCCCUCUGUGCCGAAGCUAACGCGAUAAGCACUCCGCCUGAGGAUUACGGCCGCAAGGCUA